UACGUAGGGACCAAGCGUUGUUCGGAUUUACUGGGCGUAAAGGGCGCGUAGGCGGCAAUUCAAGUCAUCUGUGAAAUCUCCGGGCUUAACCCGGGAACGGUCAGAUGAUACUGCUUUGCUAGAGUGCGGGAAGGGCAAUCGGAAUUCUUGGUGUAGCGGUGAAAUGCGUAGAUAUCAAGAGGAACACCUGAGGUGAAGACGGGUUGCUGGGCCGACACGUGACGCUGACAGCGCGAAAGCCAGGGGAGCAAACGGG
rnacentral:rRNA from 1 species